rnacentral:rRNA from 1 species
GAGUAACCUGCCCUUAACUCUGGGAUAAGCCUGGGAAACUGGGUCUAAUACCGGAUAGGAGCGUCCACCGCAUGGUGGGUGUUGGAAAGAUUUAUCGGUUUUGGAUGGACUCGCGGCCUAUCAGCUUGUUGGUGAGGUAAUGGCUCACCAAGGCGACGACGGGUAGCCGGCCUGAGAGGGUGACCGGCCACACUGGGACUGAGACACGGCCCAGACUCCUACGGGAGGCAGCAGUGGGGAAUAUUGCACAAUGGGCGAAAGCCUGAUGCAGCGACGCCGCGUGAGGGAUGACGGCCUUCGGGUUGUAAACCUCUUUCAGUAGGGAAGAAGCGAAAGUGACGGUACCUGCAGAAGAAGCACCGGCUAACUACGUGCCAGCAGCCGCGGUAAUACGUAGGGUGCGAGCGUUAUCCGGAAUUAUUGGGCGUAAAGAGCUCGUAGGCGGUUUGUCGCGUCUGUCGUGAAAGUCCGGGGGCUUAACCCCGGAUCUGCGGUGGGUACGGGCAGACUAGAGUGCAGUAGGGGAGACUGGAAUUCCUGGUGUAGCGGUGGAAUGCGCAGAUAUCAGGAGGAACACCGAUGGCGAA